rnacentral:tRNA from 1 species
CGCUCGCUCUCUGGUUUAGAGCAGUCGCCCGGCAAGCGAAAGACCCGGGUUCGAUUCCCGGUCUAGCGA